rnacentral:rRNA from 1 species
AUUGAACGCUGGCGACAGGCCUAACACAUGCAAGUCGAGCGGAUGAAGGGAGCUUGCUCCUGGAUUCAGCGGCGGACGGGUGAGUAAUGCCUAGGAAUCUGUCUGGUAGUGGGGGAUAACGUCCGGAAACGGGCGCUAAUACCGCAUACGUCCUGAGGGAGAAAGUGGGGGAUCUUCGGACCUCACGCUAUCAGAUGAGCCUAGGUCGGAUUAGCUAGUUGGUGGGGUAAAGGCCUACCAAGGCGACGAUCCGUAACUGGUCUGAGAGGAUGAUCAGUCACACUGGAACUGAGACACGGUCCAGACUCCUACGGGAGGCAGCAGUGGGGAAUAUUGGACAAUGGGCGAAAGCCUGAUCCAGCCAUGCCGCGUGUGUGAAGAAGGUCUUCGGAUUGUAAAGCACUUUAAGUUGGGAGGAAGGGCAGUAAGUUAAUACCUUGCUGUUUUGACGUUACCAACAGAAUAAGCACCGGCUAACUUCGUG